AGGAUGCGCGUGCGUCUGAUUAGCUAGUUGGUGGGGUAACGGCCUACCAAGGCGACGAUCAGUAGCCGACUUGAGAGGGUGAUCGGCCACAUUGGAACUGAGACACGGUCCAAACUCCUACGGGAGGCAGCAGUGGGGAAUAUUGCACAAUGGGGGAAACCCUGAUGCAGCAACGCCGCGUGAAGGAAGAAGGCCUUUGGGUCGUAAACUUCUGUUCUAAGGGAAGAUAAUGACGGUACCUUAGGAGCAAGUCCCGGCUAACUACGUGCCAGCAGCCGCGGUAAUACGUAGGGGGCAAGCGUUAUCCGGAAUUAUUGGGCGUAAAGAGUACGUAGGUGGUUACCUAAGCACGAGGUAUAAGGCAAUGGCUUAACCAUUGUUCGCCUUGUGAACUGGGCUACUUGAGUGCAGGAGAGGAAAGCGGAAUUCCUAGUGUAGCGGUGAAAUGCGUAGAUAUUAGGAGGAACACCAGUGGCGAAGGCGGCUUUCUGGACUGUAACUGACACUGAGGUACGAAAGCGUGGGGAGCAAACAGGAUUAGAUACCCUGGUAGUCCACGCCGUAAACGGUGAGCACUAGGUGUCGGGGUCGCAAGACUUCGGUGCCGCAGUUAACGCAAUAA
rnacentral:rRNA from 1 species